UAGGCUGCUAAGUUGAGCACUUGGAAGUGCCAGAUUGACGCAACUUUCAUUCUUUCCCCUUGUGCGUGCAACCUGGCUAUUGAAUGAGGCAGGGGUGCGAUGGGAAACCCAUGUGGGACCAUAAAAUCAUAGACUGUACCUGAUGUGUGUGUCCAAAGGGCAGAACAGGGGCUGCACAAGCAACCAGAAGGUGUACAGCUGGCAUUUCCAAACUUCAAUAGCGGAACAGGAUUUUAUGAAACAAAGAAGAGGCACUUCACUAGCCCAAGGCUGUCCCCCUAGCUGAGUAUCAAGGACCUGCUGCGAACAACAAAACCUCAGGUCCAGGAAUGAUGUAAGCGCAUGAGAAUCUCAUUGAAACUCCCUUCCAGAACCCGAGAAAAGGUUGAAAACGUGGCCCCUAAGGGCUCCACAAUCAAGGUGAAGACGAGGACCGCCACGUUCAUUGCUUAUUAAAAAUCUCAUGGUUGGUACAAUAAUGGAACAACCAGAUACUGCUGAUGGCCCAUUAAGGGGCCUCCACACUACCAAGGGCUAUCACAGAAUCUAUGUACAAUGAAAACCUCUCAGCGAUAGCACAUCAACAAUGGACACAGCUUGACUCACAUCCUAGCAAAAGAUCUAUAGCUCCUCCUAUAAAGGAGGGAAAACAACAUAAUCACUUGGCCUCCCACUCCUCCCUCACAGCUCAACACCUGGAAACACCUCUGGAGGACAAAGACUGAAUUGGGGAGCUGGUCCCAGGCUGGAAAGGAGAAUCCCAGCCUGUGUAUUCAGGAACUAUACCAUCUACCAGGGUGAGACACUGCUUAAUUCAAAUCCUGUCUAGUUUAUAGAAUUCAGAUUGUAGUUUUAAUUUCAUUUCUUAAGUAACUAACUUUGAUCUGUACAUUUCUUACUUACAAUCACUUAAAAUCUAUCUUUCUGUAGUUAAUAAACCUGGUUUUAUAUUUUACUUAAAACAGUGUGUUUCGGUUGAAGUGCCUGAGGAAUCUCCUCAGUGUACAAAAGCAGG